rnacentral:lncRNA from 1 species
GGCGGCUAACGGUGAAUUUUGGCUCAGGAGCGGCAUCUUCGACAUCGAUGUAGUGGAUCCGACAAGUGGCAAUAACACACGCGUGGAUGGGUAGCAGGCUUGAUUGGGCCUAACAGCGGGCUCCAUUGGGCUCACUAUGGUUCUUUUUAAUUUUUUUAAAUCAUUGAACGGAGGCGGGCAGCUUAUUGCGAGCACCUCCAUAAAUCUAGGCGGGCGAGGCAACCACCUCCAUUAACCGAGGCAUUUAAUUAUUAGAGGCAGUUGCAAUGCCCACCUUUAUUAAUCUAUUUUGUCCGCCUCCGAUAAGAAUAGUGUAGUAGUGUUAUCUAUGCUUAUAAAUUUAUGAUUAUUGAAUAGUAUAAUUUUUUAUAAAUCUAAUCAUAUAGAGGAUGUUACUUCCUUCAUCUUAUAUAGGGUUUAGGGUUAUCAUAACUCAAAGUAGCUACAAAAUAAGUUAUUUUGUAACCAGCUAUAGGGUAGUAGAUCUAUAUAUAUAAAGUCAAACAUCUGACUCAAGCAUCCAUUAGAAAACAUAGGCAACUACCUCGUAUCAUUUAGGAUGCCUGAUAUGUUGCUUCCUUCAUCGUGUGUGUGUGUGAGUAUACUGUCCGUACGAACGACAAUAUUUAGGUAUACACAAAUUAGGACUGAAAUAUAUACAAACUAAAACAAUCAAAAUAUGGUUUUUCCCGGCAUAAGACUUGGCUAUUACAGCUCAACACAUCACAAUGCAAACCAUUCGUAUAUGAUUUAGGAAAUCAUAUUUAGUGACAUUAAUUUAAAUAUCUUAAAUAAAAAACAAAAAAAAGAAGAAUAUUAUGCUUUGCUUCGCUAUAGAAAAAAUUGUUUUCAUAAAUUGGUCCUCUCUCAAAUUGUAUUCGGAUUUCCUUUUUGAAUAAUCACUACACGAGAAACCUCUCUUUAGCAAUAGAUAUUUGCUUGGCAACACAUAAUUUAUUCAUUGCAAAGGUAUAAUAUAUAUGGCAAUGAUUACUAACUGUUUGAAGCAGCAUUACCUUUACGCAAAGUGAUCUGUAUUCUCGCAAAGUGUUAUGUAUCAUGUACUGUACGCAAUUCCUCCGGGUCCAAUACUCCUCGGCCGUACCUUCUAAAAAUCAAAUGUUAAUUACGACUAAAACAAUUCCCAAUAACCAGCCAAGCAAUUAAACUUUGAGGCCUCUUAGUCUUUUGUGUUUGCCCACCAAACAAAUUCUUUUACAAAUGAGGAUACAAAGCACAUAAGCCCACGACCUGACGGCCCCAUCUCCCAUCCAGUAGGACAGUACGCAAGAAAAUCCAAAAUUUUAAAAAUAAUAUGUUUGAUAUAAUUUGGAAAUUGAUUUUUUUAAAAGAUAUGAAAAUCCAUUUUUUUAAAAUAUGUUACACAUG